rnacentral:rRNA from 1 species
CAGAGGGUGCGAGCGUUGUUCGGAAUUACUGGGCGUAAAGCGCGCGCAGGCGGCCUUUUAAGUCUACCCGUGAAAUGCCGGAGCUCAACUCCGUGCACGCCGGGGGAUACUGGGAGGCUGGAGACAUGUAGAGGCAAGCGGAAUUCCGGGUGUAGCGGUGGAAUGCGUAGAUAUCCGGAAGAACACCUGAGGCGAAGGCGGCUUGCUGGGCAUGAUCUGACGCUGAGGCGCGAAAGCGUGGGGAGCAAACAGGAUUAGAUACCCCUGGUAGUCCACGCCGUAAACGAUGGGCACUAGACGCGGGUGGGAUCGACCCCUUCCGUGUCGCAGCUAACGCGAUAAGUGCCCCGCCUGGGGAGUACGGCCGCAAGGCUG